rnacentral:rRNA from 15 species
CUCUUUUAACAAUGCGUAUUACCCAUUUGUCAAUCUAAUGUGUGCUGUAGAGCAUAGAGAAGCAGUCUACAGUACUUGAUUGUGAACUACAGAUAACUACAAUUAGCCUAUAUUUAUCAAUCUGUAAUGUGCAAAGAAACUUUUUGGCUCAAAAUCAAAAAAUUAAGUCAGUGCUAGUCCGA